rnacentral:rRNA from 1 species
ACGGCGAGUGAAGCGGCAAAAGCUCAAAUUUGAAAUCUGGCACCUUCGGUGUCCGAGUUGUAAUUUGAAGAAGGUAACUUUGGAGUUGGCUCUUGUCUAUGUUCCUUGGAACAGGACGUCACAGAGGGUGAGAAUCCCGUGCGAUGAGAUGCCCAAUUCUAUGUAAAGUGCUUUCGAAGAGUCGAGUUGUUUGGGAAUGCAGCUCUAAGUGGGUGGUAAAUUCCAUCUAAAGCUAAAUAUUGGCGAGAGACCGAUAGCGAACAAGUACAGUGAUGGAAAGAUGAAAAGAACUUUGAAAAGAGAGUGAAAAAGUACGUGAAAUUGUUGAAAGGGAAGGGCUUGAGAUCAGACUUGGUAUUUUGCGAUCCUUUCCUUCUUGGUUGGGUUCCUCGCAGCUUACUGGGCCAGCAUCGGUUUGGAUGGUAGGAUAAUGACUAAGGAAUGUGGCUCUACUUCGGUGGAGUGUUAUAGCCUUGGUUGAUACUGCCUGUCUAGACCGAGGACUGCGUCUUUUGACUAGGAUGUUGGCAUAAUGAUCUUAAGCCACCCGUCUUGAAA